rnacentral:rRNA from 1 species
AGGACGAACGCUGGCGGCGUGCUUAACACAUGCAAGUCGAGCGGAAAGGCCCUUCGGGGUACUCGAGCGGCGAACGGGUGAGUAACACGUGGGCAACCUGCCCCUAGCUCUGGGAUAACUCCGGGAAACCGGUGCUAAAUACCGGAUACGACCUCAUUAGGCAUCCUUUGAGGUGGAAAGAUUUAUCGGCUAGGGAUGGGCCCGCGGCCUAUCAGCUUGUUGGUGGGUAACGCCUACAAGGCGACGACGGGUAG